AAGAAAGAUUAAAGUUUGUACCUUUUGUAUUAUGGUUCAAUAAGGUUAUGCAAAUAAAAUUUUAUAACCCGAAGCUGGGCGAGCUAGUGUAUUCUGCUUUAAGAGAGAAAAAUUUUUACUGUUGCAAUAGUAAGGUUUGAGGAUACAUUAGGUGUAAAAUGCUUAUCGUGCUCAGGGAUAGCUGGUUUUCCCAGAAAUGGAUUUAAGUUCAGGAAUAUAUUUUUAUUGAGGGAGGAUCAUUUUAUAGAAUAAAUAAAGUGGUUUUUGGUAAUAAUAUAUUUUUAAGACAGGAAGGGACAAGCUUUUCUGUCAAUAAAGAAAAAGCUUUAAUUAUUAAUAAAGGGUGGUUUUUAUAAAAUGUGUUGGUUAAGAUGUUANNNNNNNNNNNNNNNNNNNNNNUAACUUUAGAGAGAGCGUUAAAGCUUAUAAAACACAAGGCAACACAGACAAUUUUUAGAAAAAAACUUUUUGUUGUAAAAGUUUAUGGGAAAAUUUCAUAAAUUUGAAAGUUAUAAUGUUGAAAUUAGUAGAGAUAAAAGAAGUAUUAUUUGUAAAUUAAUCAAGCCUAACCAUUGGAUGGAACAAAUAUUUAUAGUCAGGAAAUUAGUUUGUAUAGGUUGUCUACUAACGCAAGUAAUACAAUAAAUAAGUAAAAUAAGGGAAAGGAACUCGGCAAAUAAAGAUUUNNNNNNNNNNNNNNNNNNNNCGCCCUUUGUAAAGAAUCUUAUAUAUAAAGGGUCCUGCCUGCCCAGUGACUUAGUUAAACGGCCGCGGUAUCUUGACCGUGCAAAGGUAGCAUAAUCAUUUGCCUCUUAAAUGGGGGCUGGAAUGAAUGGCAAGACGGGAAUCAAGCUGUCUCUCUCUUAUAUUUUGAAGUUAAUAUUUUUGUGAAGAAGCAGAAAUAAAAUCGUAGGACGAGAAGACCCUAUCGAGCUUUAAUAGAAAGAAAAGUAUAGAUUUGUAAAUACUGUUUUAUUGCUAAUUAAAUAUUAAAAAUAAUUUAAUAGAUUUUACUAUAAAAACGGAAGAAUUGUUUACUUUAUAUUUAGGUUGGGGCAACCGCGGAGAAUAGAAAUCCUCCGCUAAUUUUAUUGAAAAAAAUAUUUUUUUUCAAUAUAAGAUUUAUAAAAAGUGAUCCACUCAAAAUAGUGAACAAAAGAACAAGUUACCGUAGGGAUAACAGCGUAAUUUUUUUGGAGAGUCCAUAUUGAUAAAAAAGUUUGCGACCUCGAUGUUGGAUCGGGAUUUCCUAGGGAUGCAGCAGUUCCUAAUGGUUGGUCUGUUCGACCAUUAAAAUCCU
rnacentral:rRNA from 1 species